AUGAACGCUGGCGGCGUGCCUAAUACAUGCAAGUCGAGCGAACAGAUGAGGAGCUUGCUCCUCUGACGUUAGCGGCGGACGGGUGAGUAACACGUGGAUAACCUACCUAUAAGACUGGGAUAACUUCGGGAAACCGGAGCUAAUACCGGAUAAUAUAUUGAACCGCAUGGUUCAAUAGUGAAAGACGGUUUUGCUGUCACUUAUAGAUGGAUCCGCGCCGCAUUAGCUAGUUGGUAAGGUAACGGCUUACCAAGGCAACGAUGCGUAGCCGACCUGAGAGGGUGAUCGGCCACACUGGAACUGAGACACGGUCCAGACUCCUACGGGAGGCAGCAGUAGGGAAUCUUCCGCAAUGGGCGAAAGCCUGACGGAGCAACGCCGCGUGAGUGAUGAAGGUCUUCGGAUCGUAAAACGCUGUUAUUAGGGAAGAACAAAUGUGUAAGUAACUAUGCACGUCUUGACGGUACCUAAUCAGAAAGCCACGGCUAACUACGU
rnacentral:rRNA from 1 species